rnacentral:lncRNA from 1 species
GAAAAUGCAAAUUAAACUUAAAAUCCAAUAAGGAAAUUUAGAAAACAAAAUAAAAUAACCUAAAUUAGAAAAAAAAAAAAAACUCUGACAGAUGGUGGGAGAUUAACAGAAAAGAAAUUUGCAUGUAUGAAUCUAUAGGUUUUGGUGUGCUUUUAGGACAAACUAACCAAAAAAAUUUGAAAUAGAAAGUGCUGAUAAAGCUUUGAAG